rnacentral:tRNA from 1 species
AUCUAAAUAGUUUAAUGGUAGAAUAAUAAUUUGUGGUGUUAUAGGUAUAUUUUGUAUUUUAGAUU